UAGAGUGAUUGAUGGAAAAGAAAAAGGGAAGAAGAGUGAAAGGAAGGUGUGAAUAUAUAUCAUUGAUUUAGAAGUAUAGGAAAGGGUUGAUACAUCAGUGACCACAAAGAUAGAAAUGAACUAACUACAAGAGCUAAUCAAUUAAAGGAAGGAAUAUGUCGUCGAUCGAAGAGUGUAAUGAUAAAAUAGCCAAUGAUACAAAUUAUAAUAACACAACUAAAAUUUAUCACAUACAUAUUCAAAAGCCGAUAACACAUGCUUACCGAAAAGCCAAAGACAUCCAAACGUAAAAGCCAAUAACAUGCAUAGACAAAAGACAAUAUCACACAUACAAUAAAAGUUUUAAACAUAGAAGCUAACCUUCUUAGCAGAUUCAAACAGCAAUGGAGGGAAUUGGAGGACUGCACGCCCAAAAAUAUAGGCAGAAAACGGUCAAAAACGUCGCCCAAGAACACGUCACAAACUGCAUUAAUUACGAAGUUGCCACCGGUCAUCAUUUUACGUCAGUUGACGGAACAACCAACGUCUAUGUGGUGAUGUUAAAUAGCGUUUUUCCACUAGUGUAGAUUGUAUUUUCUUUUAUAAUUCUAUGUGUCUUGUCAUUUAUAUUCAUUUUGAGUUUAUCUUUUCAAAAUGAGAUUUUGUUGUUUUAUUCUUUAAAAUUAUCAUUUCGCAUCC
rnacentral:lncRNA from 1 species